rnacentral:rRNA from 1 species
UACGUAGGGGGCAAGCGUUGUCCGGAUUUAUUGGGCGUAAAGAGCGUGUAGGCGGCUUUGCAAGUCCGGUGUGAAAGUCAGAGGCUCAACCUUUGAAUGCCGCUGGAAACUGUCUGGCUUGAGUCCGGAAGGGGCGAGUGGAAUUCCUGGUGUAGCGGUGAAAUGCGCAGAUAUCAGGAGGAACACCAAUGGCGAAGGCAGCUCGCUGGAACGGUACUGACGCUGAGGCGCGAAAGCGUGGGGAGCAAACAGG